UACGUAGGUGGCAAGCGUUGUCCGGAUUUACUGGGCGUAAAGAGCGCGCAGGCGGUCGUUCAAGUCGCGUGUGAAAGUCGGGGGCUCAACCCUCGGAUGCCGGUGGAUACUGUCGGGCUUGAGUACGGAAGAGGCGAGUGGAAUUCCUGGUGUAGCGGUGAAAUGCGCAGAUAUCAGGAGGAACACCAAUUGCGAAGGCAGCUCGCUGGGACGUUACUGACGCUGAGACGCGAAAGCGUGGGGAGCAAACAGG
rnacentral:rRNA from 1 species